CAGAAGCUGAAGACAUCUGCCCCCGCCCUCCUGCAGAAUCUGGGGACAUCUGCACCCCUACUCCUGGGCCCACUGUUCCGGUUCAUUCUAAAGAUGCAAUCCAGGGAAGGAAGAGAAACUGAAGUGGUUCAACCAUCCCCCCUAAAAAGAAAGGUCUGGAGGGUCAUGCAGAGGCCUGCUCAACAGAGUUCAAC